rnacentral:antisense_RNA from 1 species
GAACCGACCGACUCUUCCCGGUAGGGAGAGGCGAUGGCGGAAUUACUCCUCUAAUGUCAAGGUAUUCUAAUCACAGAAUUACUGGAGCAUCAAGAAGUGCCUGCAUGCUUGGAAGGGCUUCCAGGCAGAUGAACACACCUCAGCACCGGGUGGCAUUUUCCCAGGGUGCAACCCGGAGCGGCUCUGGGUCACACUGACAAGGACAACAGGGUUAACAAUUUCCAGAGACAGCCCGUACAUAGAAGGAAUGUUUACUGAAAAAAAUGAAGAGGGGUCAGGGCAAGGCGAGGAGCGAGAAGCACCCCCAAGGAAACAGAGAAGACCAGUACAACUGUACCUCUUUGCCAGCUGCACCAUCCGUACCAGUCUCCUGGGGUGGAAGUGUCCAGCGCAGAGACUGCCACACUGCAAGAUGAAGGGGCUGGACACACGGAAGAGAGAGGCGGAACCCUGCACCCCCUCGACCUCAGCCCUACUGAGUCUCCAAUGGGGCCACGCUUCUGAGUGCACCUCCCCCUGUCAUCUGUAAUGUGAGGGGGAACCAGGCUUGAUAUGGCAUUCCCAAUCCAGGGC